rnacentral:lncRNA from 1 species
CCUGGUUGUUCUGUUUUGUACCACUUGAGUUAAGUGUACUUUUGCCUUCUGCCACAAGCAAGAAACAACUGCAGAGGAACCAGAGCAGCUUUAGCAUGGUACUCCACAGCACCAAAGCAAGGAAAAUGCAGGCAGAACUAAAUGUGCAGAAGCAUUAGAGAUGGAAAGGUGGAGGGCUCGUGCCUUUGCAGGGCUGCUGGUAGUAGCAAGGUACUUAAGCUGGUGCAGGGAGGAACCAGGCGUCAGCCCAAACAUCUCAACUGAAGUGCUGAGACAACGCAUGCCAGUUCCUGUCCACUCGUGGUGACUUACUGUGCCAGGCUCCCCUGUCCUCUGGAGGUGGGUUUGUGCAACGGAGUAUUCUGGGGGUGAGGUAAAGUGUAUGCUGGUUUCUCAUCACAAUGCACCCUGGUCUGAAUAGCACCCAUAGUUCGAGAAGGAUACAAAAUAGUGUUUCCCCUUUUUUGAAAUCCCCCCCUAAAAAACACGCAAACCAAAACAAGCUCUGGGAAAAAACUACAACUCAUCACGCAUCUUGUCUCCUUUGGGCCUGACGAGCCUGCCAAUGAAGAGAAUGGAGUUGGUUUUGCUGUCCUUGAUCAUGAAGAUGAAGGGGUGGUCAGCGUAGAAGAGCUUGGGGUUCCUCAUCUCCUCUCGGCCGUAGAUGUCAGCAUCAUAGGGGUUCCCAUCUGUGUCCCAUUCAAGAGCAGCGGCAUGGAAGACGUUGGAUAAGUAAAGAUCUUUCUUGCCAGAGAUCUUUGACAGGUCAGCCUUGGUUUUGUCAAUGGCUUCCGUCAGGCCCAGAUCAGCCAAGUGUUUCUGAAGGUCAUGGCUGACUUCCAGGACGACCUUAGGCAGUGAGAUGGCCACAGAUCUCUUCUUCAUCUUGCUGGCCCAGGUCUUUAGCUGUUCCCUGUUCAGCAGUUUCUCAACCCUCUCCAGAGGCUCCACGUGGUUUGGCAUGAUAAAGAUCAUGCUGGAGAGCUUAUGAGCCAGUGGCAUUUCUACCACCUGAAGCUUCUCUGCCUCAUCAUCAUAGUAAUUGUAGAGACCUUGAAGUCAGAAUCAGAGAUAGGAAAUGGUGAGAUGUAGAGCAUGGGCAAAUAGCCACAAACGUUUUGCCAGUUCACCCUGGGCUCCCCUGACACUGAGGGAAGAAAGCCUCAGUGCCAUUUUGGGAACUGGCCCGUCUUCAUUGGAGUUGGCAACAACUCAUAACUGUGGUUCUCAUUCACGUCAUGAGCUAGUUUAUUCCUAACAGCAAGUCUGGAUUCUCCCUGCCAACAGAGACUGAAUCAGCAGAGCAAGCAUGCCAUGCUUUGUUCUGUCUCACUCGUUGCUUAUGAAGCAAAGUUAUCUUGGAAGCAGUUAGUGGAAAACUGAGCAGCAGCAAGCUAAUUUCAGCUGGUCUUGGGGCAUGGGGCAGGUUUGCAACUUACCUGUACGAUGCAUCAUUGGAACGCCCACCGUGUAGGAGCGGGUCACCAUGAAGCCACGGUUAUCCACCAUCUUAUGAUGGAACUUCUCAUCCCAGUGAGCUGCAGGAAAGAGAUAUUCAGCAUUUGAGAAAAGGGAGCAGCAGAAAAAUAUCAUGCUCUGAAAAACCAUAUGCUUCCGGUGGACCCAAGGUUGGUUUAGGCUGCUAUAUAUGGGCUUAAGAUGGGCUUGGGGUCACCUGUAGCAAGAAUUGAAGGCAGCACUUACGCUUGAAGAACAUGGCGUUGACAAUAAGGGCUCCAUCAGUUUUCUCAACAUCCUUUGUGACUUCUGGGAGUUUCCCAUCUGUGGUCUGGGCUGCCCACUCGUUGAUGGAUUUCAGGGCGCUCCUCUUGUCCCGAAAGUUGAUCUUGGAGUGCUCAUAGUUGUAGUGUUUCUUGCUGUUCUUCACGAAGUCAUCGGCAAAGUUGAUGGAGGCAGGGCCAUACAAGCGGUUGCCGAUCUUCCAGGUAACAUUACGGGCUGUGCUGUUGCUCACCUCGUUGAGGAGCUCCGACAGCCCGCUGUGCACAUAGUCAUCAUUCAGCUUGUCUGCGCUGAGCACGGCCUUGGCUUGGGAGGCAGUUGUAGCCUUGCCCCCAAGGGACACGAGGCCCAGGGAAGAAGCCACGACCACGGGAGACAGCAGGAUGUUCUCCAUGUUCUUGUCUUUGGCCAUGGCAUGGUAGAGGUUGAAGGCCAACGUCGUGCUGCGGUCGGCCAACGUUGUUGCCUUGUCGCUCAGCUUCCUGUCCUCUGAGGGCACAGCUGCUGCAAGGCCGCAGAGAGCGAGGACCAGAAAAAUCUGCAUGGUUUUGGCAGCACCCAACUCGUCUGGGGACCUCCGGAGCAGUGCAGGAUCGGGGCUCAGUUCCCUGUGCACCUCCCGGUCCAGAGGAGGGGGUAUAUAAGGGGCCGGCAAGAAACUUCUGGAAGUUGGGAAAAACCUCUCAAAAAAAAAAAAAAAAAAAUCCAGCCUGGGGAGGGAGAGAGGAA